UAAGUAAGUCAGAUGAUCGCGCCCCUUAGUACCGAAAGGUCCGGGGUGAGGAAAGUCCGGGCUUCACAGGGCAGGAUGCCGGAUAACGUCCGGUGGAGGUGACUCCAAGGAUAGUGCAACAGAAAUAUACCGCCAGCCGCAUAGCUUGCUGUGCGAGGUAAGGGUGGAAGGGCAGUGUAAGAGACUACCGCCUGUGCGGUAACGUACAGGGCAUAUGUAAACCCCAUUCGAAGCAAGACCGAAUAGAAAGCGAUACGGCGGCCCGUCGUGCUUUCAGGUGGGUCGCUUGAGACUGUUGGCAACAGCAGUACGAGAUAGAUGAUCAUCACCGGCUGUCCUUGUGACAGCGGCACAUAACCCGGCUUACAGACUUGCUUAUAAU
rnacentral:RNase_P_RNA from 1 species